rnacentral:lncRNA from 1 species
CAGUAACUCCAAUAAAUAAACACACUAUAAAUUCUUAUCCACUCCCUCCGACUCAUCCACGACGAAACUCUUUAUCACGCUUGCCCAUUGCCGACUAAUUGUCUGACAUCACCGAUCAGCUGCCAUGCCAUUCACAUCAUCGACCAGCCUUACAACUCUAUUCAACAAUGUACUUGAUGAUUUUGGACCCUUUUUCACCUGCUCAAGUAAUUAAAUUUAGUAUGUUGAGGAAAUUUUUUAUUUUUAUAGGUAGAUGGGUUUGGUAAUAUUAGUAUUCAAUUUUCUUGAUUUUUUUACUAUUGGUGUCGGAUUUUUUUGGUAUUUAUGUUUUAAUAUUACCAGAAAUGGCUUAUUUAAAAUGUAGAUUUUUUUUGUUUUUCUAUUUAUUAUAUCUAUGGGAUUUGAUAAAAUAUGUCUAUGUAGGGGGUUUCAAUUCUUUUGGGAUCUUAUUAUAUUUCACUACUGGUUUUGAAUCCAAUUGAUAUAUACUGUUUUUGGGUAUAAUUUUUUUCCCUUGGUUGCAUAGUAUCAGUGACUCUUUGGGGGACUGCACUGAUACGUUCACACUGUAGAAUUGCAUGAUCAAGCUACAAUUAAUGGAGAAUAUGCUGAUGGAAGUUGUGAAAUAUAAUAAGGUUGUUGAUUGGUGGCUGCUAGACGCUCGCUGCUGGACGCUGUUAGCUGUAGGCGGCAAGAAUAGUGAGAGGCUGAAGGCACGAUGACGGUGAGUGAGGGAAAUGAGAGAUUUAGGGAUUUUGGUUUCGGGUUUUGUUCGAUUUGUUUCUUCAUUUUUUUAAUUUUUCAACUUUUUAAACUUGGAUUUUAUAAUAUAUUAUAAAGUUUUUUCUUAAA